rnacentral:rRNA from 1 species
CCUACGUGAGGCAGCAGUGAGGAAUAUUGGUCAAUGGACGAGAGUCUGAACCAGCCAAGUAGCGUGAAGGAUGACUGCCCUAUGGGUUGUAAACUUCUUUUAUAUGGGAAUAAAAUGUUCCACGUGUGGGAUUUUGUAUGUACCAUAUGAAUAAGGAUCGGCUAACUCCGUGCCAGCAGCCGCGGUAAUACGGAGGAUCCGAGCGUUAUCAGGAUUUAUUGGGGUUAAAGGGAGCGUAGGUGGAUUGUUAAGUCAGUUGUGAAAGUUUGCGGGUCAACCGUAGAAGUGCAGUUGAAACUGGCAGUCUUGAGUACAGUAGAGGGGGGCGGAAUUCGUGGUGUAGCGGUGAAAUGCUUAGAUAUCACGAAGAACUCCGAUUGCGAAGGCAGUUCACUGGACUGCAACUGACACUGAGGCUCGAAAGUGUGGGUAUCAAACAGGAUUAGAUACCCUAGUUC